rnacentral:rRNA from 1 species
UACAGAGGGGGCAAGCGUUGUUCGGAAUUACUGGGCGUAAAGGGCGCGUAGGCGGCCUGUUAAGUCGAACGUGAAAUCCCCGGGCUCAACCCGGGAACUGCGUCCGAUACUGGCAGGCUUGAAUUCGGGAGAGGGAUGUGGAAUUCCAGGUGUAGCGGUUAAAUGCGUAGAUAUCGAGAGGAACAUCGGUGGCGAAGGCGGCCAACUGGACGAUUACUGACGCUGAGACUCGAAAGCGUGGGGAGCAAACAGG